AAUAACUCAAAGACAACUGCAUCACCAAAGCCUACCCCUGCAUGGUUGACAGCUCACAGAAGCCGGGAACCUCGGGGAGGCUCAACAGGGUGGAGAGUGUCCUUUCCAGGUUACAUAAACAGUAAGAACUGCUGAGGAGAACAGACUAGCCUGCUGCCUGGAAGAGACUCAGACCUGCCUGAAGGAGAAAUUUUCUGACCUGUUGAGCUCUCUGCAAGUAGUAUAAUAAACUCCAGGGUUCCUGCUCUUGGUGAUGUUACUGUCUUUGAGUUGUCCCUGCCCUACCCUUGCCCUUUUACCUAUACUCUUGUGAAUAACUCUAAUAAACUCAUUGGUUUACCAGAUUGGA